rnacentral:rRNA from 1 species
CGCGUAGGCGGUUUGGUCAGUUGGAUGUGAAAGCCCAGGGCCUAACCUUGGAAUUGCAUUCAAUACUGCCAGGCUAGAGUACGGUAGAGGGGGGUAGAAUUCCACGUGUAGCGGUGAAAUGCGUAGAGAUGUGGAGGAAUACCAGUGGCGAAGGCGGCCCCCUGGAUCGAUACUGACGCUGAGGUGCGAAAGCGUGGGGAGCAAACA